GACGAACGCUGGCGGCGUGCUUAACACAUGCAAGUCGAGCGAGCGGCGGACGGGUGAGUAAUGUCUGGGAAACUGCCUGAUGGAGGGGGAUAAGUACUGGAAACGGUAGCUAAUACCGCAUACCAUCAGAUGUGCCCAGAUGGGAUUAGCUGGUAGGUGGGGUAACUGCUCACCUAGGCGACGAUCCCUAGCUGGUCUGAGCGGAUGACCAGCCACCGUGGAACUGAGACACGGUCCAGACUCCUACGGGAGGCAGAAGUGGGGAAUAUUGCACAAUGGGCGCAAGCCUGAUGCAGCCAUGCCGCGUGUGGGAAGAAGGCCUUCGGGUUGUAAAGCACUUUCAGCGGGGAGGCGUUACCCGCAGAAGAAGCACCGGCUAACUCCGUGCCAGCCGCCGCGGUAAUAC
rnacentral:rRNA from 1 species